UCCUAGUCAAAGAAAGUGGUGACAGACGGC
rnacentral:piRNA from 1 species